GGCGAGUAAAGAGGGAAAAGCCCAAAUUUGUAAUCUGGCUCUUUUAUGAGGGUCCGAGUUGUAAUUUUGAGAACUGUUUUCUGUGCUGGACCAUUUCUAAGUCUGUUGGAAAAUAGCAUCAUAGAGGGUGAUAAUCCCUGUAUGUGAUAUGGACUACCAGGGCUAUAUGAUACAGUUUCUAAGAGUCGAGUUGUUUGGGAAUGCAGCUCAAAGUGGGUGGUAAAUUCCAUCUAAGGCUAAAUAUAGGUGAGAGACCGAUAGCAUACAAGUACCGUGAGGKAAAGAUGAAAAGAACUUUGGAAAGAGAGUGAACAGUACGUUAAAGUGUUGUAAGGGAAACACUUAAACUUAUCGUUGUGCUUGUCAGUUCAGCCCUCUCAUCAGGGUGUAUUCUGACAAAACACGGACCAACAUCAGUUUUUGAGUCUGGAUAAGGGUCUUGGGAAUGUAGCAGUUUAGGCUGUGUUAUAGNCCAGGAUUUAGAUACAGUGCUUAGGACUGAGAGAUAUUUGCAGGAAGC
rnacentral:rRNA from 1 species